UAAAGCAUUUAAAGUUUUUCGUGACAAAGUAUCUCACAGGAAAACUAUGCCAGGAUGUUGUUGAUAGCGUAAAUGCAGACAAGAUGGGAUAUAUCAAUGAGAUUCACCAACCUAAUUUGGAACGGCAAUCUCAAUAAUCCCGAGAGCAAAGACUUUAUGGAACAAGCCCGUCAGAUUGAGAGUGCAGUACGUGGAGUUCUAAAGAGUGAUGCAACGUUUCGUACAGUCAAAGUGGAAAAAUUUUCUCGAUGAAGUGUUGUUAGUAAUCUAAAAAUAAAUUAUGUGGCUGGCACAGUCUUCACUACCCCGAUAGACACCCUGACGAAGGCUGCAGCUGAUGGUGAAAUUGGUAACCUUACAGUAGACAACUCAUCAUUAGACAUUGUUAAUUAUACAUGUGACACACCUCUUGGGAUGGAAAACCAUCGCAUUCCUGACAGCGCCCUUAGUUCAGCAAACCAGAUAAUUAUCAUCCAUUUACAAAUGCUCGUUUAAACCAUAAUGGACCUGGUUGGACUCCGCGAGUUAAUCGUAUUGAAGAUGCAUAUCUACAGGUUGAUUUCGGGGAAGUUGUUCAGCUAACAGGCAUUGCCACGCAAGGGUCUUCAUAUGGUGGAGAAAGCUGGCUACAAUCCUAUCUGUUUGACUAUAGCGUUGACAGCAGGAUAUGGGUAGAAUAUAAAGAAGAUAUACAGAUAAUUAUGCUAUGACAUUUUUAGCAAACUCUGAUGUGAAUACGGCUGUGCGAAAUGACCUAAAGAAUCCAGUGAGAACAAGAUAUUUGAGAGUUAAAAAAGAACACGAAUGUCGUUAUUAGAGUUUUCGUUGUGAGUUUUAUGGUUGCCCUAUACCAAAUGUUGGAAUGUUACCAACGUUUGUGCCUUUUAACCCAACCCAGAAUAAAGGUAAAAGGCCCUGGAAACGAAGUUGUUCUCGCCCUACAAAUCAACUCAACUCAACAGGUACGAAGAAGCAUAAAACUGACGAAAAAUCCCCGAAAAAUAUUUAUUAUUAUCAUUAGAAUUUCUUUAACAACGGUAGCUCUUCAGUCUAGGCUGAUUUUCAACAGGCCGUUGGUAUUUAAGCUAUGUACAAAUAAUUGAUUACAAAUGACUUAAAACUAAACACUCUAUUAAAACUAUUACACAAUUUAGGGGGAAAAAAGAAAGAAAGUGAAAAAAUGGAAUAAAAUAUCUCACAAACCCCAUGCUUCAAGAUAAUGUACAUCUAGUCAUGAUGUUGGUGAUGGUGAUCAGAAGGAUAGUAAAACUGAUUUGAUUGUUGGUCUUGUUCUUGGUAUCUCAGCCGUGUUUAUACUCGCCAUUGUUAGUUUGGCAAAUUAAAAGACGUAAGAUAACUCGAUCGUUUGGUGCCGAAGAGUCUAUAGUGAUGAAACAAACAGUGAAUCCUGAUAUCACUGAUCUAAUAUAGUAAAUACAUUAUAAGUUCUUGUAAUUCCUUACAUCACGCAGUUAAUUCAUUCGUUGAUUAUUUAAAGUACUU